GACGAACGCUGGCGGCGUGCUUAACACAUGCAAGUCGAACGAAGAAAGAGGAGCUUGGUCCUCUGGAUGAGUGGCGAACGGGUGAGUAACACGUGAGCAAUCUGCCCCUGACUCCGGAAUAACUACUGGAAACUGUAGCUAAUACCGGAUAUGAGCCGAACAGGCAUCUGGAUCGGUGGGAAAGGACGUCGGUCAGGGAUGGGCUCGCGGCUUAUCAGCUUGUUGGUGAGGUAACGGCUGACAAAGGCGACGACGGGUAGGCGGCCUGAGAGGGUGACCGGCCACCUUGGUACUGCGAGAGGGCCCAGACUCCUACGGGAGGCAGCAGUGGGGAAUAUUGCACAAUGGGCGCAAGCGUGAUGCAGCAACGCCGCGUGCGGGAUGCCGGCCUUCGGGUUGUAAACCUCUUUUUGCAGGGAAGAAGCGAUAGUGACGGUACCUGCUGAAAAAGCGCCGGCUAACUACGUG
rnacentral:rRNA from 1 species